UACGUAGGGGGCAAGCGUUGUCCGGAAUUAUUGGGCGUAAAGAGCGUGUAGGCGGCCAGAUAAGUCCGCUGUGAAAUCUCGAGGCUCAACUUCGAGCUGUCGGUGGAAACUAUCUGGCUAGAGUCCGGAAGAGGAGAAUGGAAUUCCUGGUGUAGCGGUGAAAAUGCGCAGAUAUCAGGAAGAACACCCGUGGCGAAGGCGGUUCUCUGGGACGGUACUGACGCUGAGAACGCGAAAGCGUGGGGAGCGAACGG
rnacentral:rRNA from 1 species